rnacentral:rRNA from 1 species
GACGAAGGAUGCAAGCGUUAUCCGGAUUCAUUGGGUUUAAAGGGUGCGUAGGCGGACUGAUAAGUCAGUGGUGAAAUCUCUUUGCUUAACAAAGAAACUGCCAUUGAUACUGUCGGUCUAGAGUAUAGAUGACGUUUGGCGGAAUAUGACAUGUAGUGGUGAAAUACUUAGAUAUGUCAUAGAACACCGAUUGCGAAGGCAGCUAACGAAACUAUAACUGACGCUGAGGCACGAAAGUGCGGGGAUCAAAACAGG